UACGUAGGUGGCAAGCGUUGUCCGGAUUUAUUGGGUUUAAAGGGUGCGUAGGCGGCCCUGUAAGUCAGUGCUGAAAUAUCCCAGCUUAACUGGGAGGGUGGCAUUGAUACUGCGGGGCUAGAGUACAGAUGAGGUAGGCGGAAUUGACGGUGUAGCGGUGAAAUGCUUAGAUAUCGUCAAGAACACCUAUAGCGAAGGCAGCUUGCUACACAAUCAUUGACACUGAGGCACGAAAGCGUGGGGAGCAAACAGG
rnacentral:rRNA from 1 species